GUGAAUCAUCGAAUCUUUGAACGCAAAUUGCACUCUCCUCGGAGAGUAUGCCUGUUUGAGGUUCAGCCUAUAAAAAACGACAUCUGUGCUGUUUCGCGGUGGCAUUCGUCGGUAAUUGGGUCAUCUUAAAUCCUUUUGAUUUAAGCGUCUUAAAAUUUUCUUUUUUUUCCAUGAACGUUUCUAAGAUUUAUUUCUUUACACGUUUAAGUUAUCGUUUUUUAUUAUACGUGGUCGUCACAUCAGAUCGCGUCCAUAUUUUUUUGCUA
rnacentral:misc_RNA from 1 species